GAUGAACGCUGGCGGCGUGCCUAAUACAUGCAAGUAGAACGCUGAAGGAAUGAGCUUGCUCUUUCCGGAUGAGUUGCGAACGGGUGAGUAACGCGUAGGUAACCUGCCUGGUAGCGGGGGAUAACUAUUGGAAACGAUAGCUAAUACCGCAUAACAGUAGAUGUUGCAUGAUAUCUACUUAAAAGGUGCAAUUGCACCACUACCAGAUGGACCUGCGUUGUAUUAGCUAGUUGGUGAGGUAACGGCUCACCAAGGCGACGAUACAUAGCCGACCUGAGAGGGUGGACGGCCACACUGGGACUGAGACAAGGCCCAGAAUCCUACGGGAGGCAGCAGUAGGGAAUCUUCGGAAAUAGACGGAAGUCUGGCCGAGCAACGACGCGUGAGUGAAGAAGGUUUUCGGAUCGUAAAGCUCUGUUGUAAGGGAAGAACGAGUGUGAGAGUGGAAAGUUCACACUGUGACGGUAUCUUAACAGAAAGGGACGGCUAACUACGUG
rnacentral:rRNA from 1 species